CAAUGAAUUCGUAAAGAGGCUAUGUGCUAACAUAACCUCUUCGACAGAGCCGUUUAAGACGGUAACUAGAUUAUUUUUUGUCUUUAA
rnacentral:sRNA from 1 species